CGAGGGCGAGAUAGUCGGAAGGGGAGGACUGGGUCACGUCGUAGGAGAUGGUGAGGUCCCCUUCUCGCCUGGGGAGGAACUCCGUGUCCAGCGGCGACGACGAGUCGUUGGACCUGAAGUUGGGGUCGCGCACGCAGCAGGUGAGGGAGGUAUCGGUGCCGGGGGGGCGAGUCGCCGCCGGGCAGAUGUAGUCCUUCCUGCUCCCCAGGGAGAGGCUUCCCGGCAUGAACUCGGCGCCGAACUGCGUGCCAACGAUGUUGAUGCUGACCUGCAUCUGGGUCAGGUCGCCGGCGGUCUCGAUGGCGGUCUUGAGAUCGGUGACGGGGUUGCCGGAGAAGGAGGCGCCGUCGGGGCCGACGACGGCGGGGAGGGAGGAGCCGUCGGUGAGGACAGCGCUGGACACGGAGACAAGGAUGGUGCCGUUGGGGAGGCCGACAUGGAAGGCCCAGGACUUGAGCGGCACGGAGUCGAAGUUGCUGAUGGUAGCCGUGGCCCUGAAGGCGUAGGGCUGGGGGGUGAG
rnacentral:lncRNA from 1 species